GACGAACGCUGGCGGCGUGCUUAGCACAUGCAAGUCGAACGGACAGGCCCUGCUUUUGUGGGGUGCACGAGUGGCGAACGGGUGAGUAACACGUGAGUAUACUGUCCUUGACUUUGGGAUAACUUCAGGAAAAUGGGGCUAUAACAGGGUAGGAGCUCCUGAUGCGUGGGGGGGGAUGGAAAGUUUCGGCGGUUGGGGAUGGACUCGAGGCUUAUCCGCUUGUUGGUGGGGUAGUGGCUUACAAAGGCUUUGACGGGUAGCCGGCCUGGGAGGGUGACCGGCCACAUGGGGACUGCGGUACGGCCCAGACUCCUACGGGAGGCAGCAGUGGGGAAUAUUGCACAAUGGGCGGAAGCCUGAUGCAGCAACGCCGCGUGCGGGAUGACGGCCUUCGGGUGGUAAACCGCUUUCGCCUGUGACGAAGCGGGAGUGACGGUAAUGGGUAAAGAAGCACCGGCUAACUACGUG
rnacentral:rRNA from 1 species